UGGGGAAUAUUGGACAAUGGGCGCAAGCCUGAUCCAGCCAUACCGCGUGGGUGAAGAAGGCCUUCGGGUUGUAAAGCCCUUUUGUUGGGAAAGAAAUCCUGUCGAUUAAUACUCGGUGGGGAUGACGGUACCCAAAGAAUAAGCACCGGCUAACUUCGUGCCAGCAGCCGCGGUAAUACGAAGGGUGCAAGCGUUACUCGGAAUUACUGGGCGUAAAGCGUGCGUAGGUGGUGGUUUAAGUCUGCUGUGAAAGCCCUGGGCUCAACCUGGGAAUUGCAGUGGAUACUGGAUCACUAGAGUGUGGUAGAGGGAUGCGGAAUUUCUGGUGUAGCAGUGAAAUGCGUAGAGAUCAGAAGGAACAUCCGUGGCGAAGGCGGCAUCCUGGGCCAACACUGACACUGAGGCACGAAAGCGUGGGGAGCAAACAG
rnacentral:rRNA from 1 species